UGUUCCUACGGGACGCAGCAGUGAGGAAUAUUGGUCAAUGGGCGGAAGCCUGAACCAGCCAAGUCGCGUGAGGGAUUAAGGCCCUAUGGGUCGUAAACCUCUUUUGUCAGGGAGCAAUGGCGUCCACGUGUGGGCGUAUGGAGAGUACCUGAAGAAAAAGCAUCGGCUAACUCCGUGCCAGCAGCCGCGGUAAUACGGAGGAUGCGAGCGUUAUCCGGAUUUAUUGGGUUUAAAGGGUGCGCAGGCGGAAGAUCAAGUCAGCGGUAAAAUUGAGAGGCUCAACCUCUUCGAGCCGUUGAAACUGG
rnacentral:rRNA from 1 species